UGUAAGUCCUGACUCCGCCGCCCACGACUUGCGGCCGCAGGCAGGUCCCAGCCGUGCCGGCUCGGUGUCCCCAUCUGUGAGACGCAGGUGCUGACACGGGGCCCGCCCGCGUGAGUGCCGUGAGGCGGCGGGGAGCACCGUGAGCCCGGUCUCACCGUCAAGGUGGGCUCGGGGUGUCGGGGUCUCGGGGCGCCCCCCAACCAGGCCGCACCCCGCACGCGAGACUCUGUCUCAAAAAAAUUAAAAAAGUCCUAUGAGAAUCCCAAGAAAAAUCUAUAAAUACUUUCUUUGCCUUUCCAUUUUCCUGACUUUUCUUCUCCUGCCACGUCUGAGGGAAGCAAGAAAGGAGUCCACACGCCAGGCGGCAGGUUGCGCGCCCGCGCUCUAAGCGGCCCUAGCCGCGCAGCGGCGUCCCGGCCGCCGCCCACAAAUCCCGCGAGACGUGGGGAGAGAACGGGGCUCCGGCGGGAGCUGGGAAUUCCCAGCGAGCUGAUGAACGCAAACUUAACGGGAGAGCAAAGUCAUUCCAACAGCUCCUUAGUAUCUUGAAGGACAAACCGCAUUAUGCAUCUCUCCUACAGUGGCUGUUUUAACACUGGUCUUUACAACAUGGUCCCUUCAGGUACCAAAUUGCAUUUGGAAAAAGACAUCAAGCCCUGAUGUGAAGAAUCCUGCCAUGUUAAAGUUGGGGAAAUUUGCUUUAUGUAGACAAAAUUAAAUUGGAAACAGGAAUCAAUGGAAACAUAUUGACAACACCAUUCAUUUAAAGAGAAGAAAUGGUCCAUGGGAUAAAAGCAAUUUUUCUUUAGUAUUUGCUAUCUGGAAAGACAGCUACUCAAGGACACCAGAAGGUCCAAAUACUACAAAUGGCCACGUGACCUCCUGCUGGCGGCCAAAAGUCCAGUCCUGUGCCCAGCCGGUACAGACCAGAACAAGCCACUUCCAGGUGCCCUUAGCUCAUUAUCAUAUCAUUCUAAUACUAAAAAUCACUCCCCUGAGUGAAAACUGCGAUGCAUAUGCAGUGUAUGAAAAAGCAUGUCCGUGAACUGCAUCUGAAACUUCACCAUGUGCGUGCUCACACACCUCCUCCCUCCCACACCUAACUUUAAAACUCCCACACCCCCCUUUGCUUGGAGAGAAGGUGCCGUUAGAGCUCAAGCUCACCUUUCUCCAUUCUUUGGCCAAAGAAUUAAAAACCCUGAAUGCC